ensembl:misc_RNA RN7SL121P RNA, 7SL, cytoplasmic 121, pseudogene
GCCGGACGUGGUGGCGGGCGCCUGUAAUGCCAGCUACUUGGGAGGCUGAGGCAGGAGAAUCGCUUGAACCCGGGAGGUGGAGGUUGCAGUGAGCCAAGAUCACGCCACUGCACUCCAGCCUGGGCAACAGAGUGAGACUCCGUCUCAAAAAAAAAAAAAUUUAAUUUCUUUUGAGACAGGGUCUCGCUCUGUUGCCCAGGCUGGAGUGCAGUGGUGCCAUCAUGGUUCACUGCAACCUUGACCACCUGGGCUCAAGCGAUCCUCCCACCUCAU